GGCAGUCUGGUACAGUGGAAAGCACUUCCGUUUUGAAUUCGGACAGACCCGGGUUCAAAUCCUGUCUCUGCUG
rnacentral:tRNA from 1 species